ACUGUACUAAACUAACCAAAGUGGGGGAUAGUGAGAGGGAUAAAUUUUCUUAAGGAACUCGGCCAAAUCCUAAUGCCCAUCAGGGUAAAUAUCAGAACAUGGGCCUCGACUGUUUACCAAAAACAUAGCUCUCAGCCAAUACGAAAGUAGAAGUAUGGAGGGUGAGGCCUGCCCAAUGGUUGUAUCUAAAAACGGUUGAUAAAAGUCGACUUCAUAAGGACAAUUGAAUGGCCGCGGUAACACUGACCGUGAUAAUGUAGCGUAAUCAAUAGCCAAUUAAUUGUUGGCCAGUAUGAAUGGCGUCACGAAGGCCCCACUGUCUUAAGAGAAUUCCCAGUGAAAUUGAAUUCGUAGUGAAGAUGCUACGUCCAAUUUGUCAGACGAAAAGACCCCAUUGAGCUUUACUGGAGACUUACAUUGCUCGGAUCAACUCUCGCCCCCCCCCCCUUGGCGGGGGGUCGAAUUUAAAUGGAUAGCUUAGAUUAUGUGGUGUUAUAACCGUCGAUCAAGUAGUCCCUACGGGAUUGCCCCCGAAGGUUGACCUGUUUGGGUGAAUGAAACCCCACUCUUUUUUGUUAAAUGAGCUAACCCCUUAAAGGGGGACAAUGUAAGUUGGACAGUUUGGUUGGGGCGACCGCCUUUUAAAGAGUAACGAAGGUGUGCUUAAGGUACACAAUCAAUAACACAAGCCUGACUGCGAGGGGGACCCUCCGAGCAGACACCUAAAGUCUUCUCCCUUCCCCCCGAAGGUUAAAGACGAAUGGUGGGUUAUAGUGACCCGUUAAUUUAGAGUGGAAUAGUUAACGAUCAACGAAUAAAAGUUACCAUGGGGAUAACAGCGUAAUAUCGUUAGAGAGUUUACAUCGACGACGAUGUUGCGACCUCGAUGU
rnacentral:rRNA from 1 species